CCCACCUUCUGUGUUGAUCUCACUGGGAGCUACAGACCGGAGCUGUUCCUGUUCAGCCAGUUUGCCAGCCACAGGGCACUGAGGCCGCAGGACAAGCCAGCACAAUCUCCAAACCAAGAUGUUUUGAACAAAAGAUGCUCCAGUUUCAGUGUCAACCAUCUUCAGACGGACUGCUCUCUGUCAAGCAUCAUGAAUGGGUCGGGCAGCUUUGACCUUUCACCACCCGCCUCAUAACUUCAUUGAACCCAAGACUCUACCCUACAGAAUGUACUUCUAGAUGGAUGUUUUUCCGGGCUGGCGUUGUGAGUAUUUCAGGAUCAGGGUGACAGUACCCCCUACCUUUGAUGGCUCCACAAUGACCCAAAGGCAGGAAUCCCAAACCUUACCCUUAGACAUGGUAGCCAGUAAUGACCUUUAAACUUAACCUGUAUUCUGGUUAAAUCUUUUGGCCCCUCAUUUCCUGCCCCUCUAAAAUGCAAAGCGUAAGCUUGCCAUUCAUUUUCUGGGAUCCUAAGAAGCUAUGAGAUGCGGGAGCCUAUUAGCCUGGCCUCUGGCCUCCCAGGAGAAUCGUUACGUGUCCCGCCACUCCCCAUCCCCAAGAGCGUCUCUCUUACUCUUUAAAUAUUUUGGAAAGAUUCUUUAAAUUUUUUUUUUUUUUUUCUGAGACAGAGU